UACGUAGGGUGCGAGCGUUGUCCGGAAUUAUUGGGCGUAAAGAGCUCGUAGGCGGCUUGUCACGUCGGGUGUGAAAGCUCGGGGCUUAACCCCGGGUCUGCAUUCGAUACGGGCUGGCUGGAGUGUGGUAGGGGAGAUCGGAAUUCCUGGUGUAGCGGUGAAAUGCGCAGAUAUCAGGAGGAACACCGGUGGCGAAGGCGGAUCUCUGGGCCAUUACUGACGCUGAGGAGCGAAAGCGUGGGGAGCGAACAGG
rnacentral:rRNA from 1 species